rnacentral:rRNA from 1 species
UACGGGGGGGGCAAGCGUUGUUCGGAAUUACUGGGCGUAAAGGGCUCGUAGGCGGCCAACUAAGUCAGACGUGAAAUCCCUCGGCUUAACCGGGGAGCUGCGUCUGAUACUGGAUGGCUUGAGUUCGGGAGAGGGAUGCGGAAUUCCAGGUGUAGCGGUGAAAUGCGUAGAUAUCUGGAGGAACACCGGUGGCGAAGGCGGCAUCCUGGACCGAAACUGACGCUGAGGAGCGAAAGCCAGGGGAGCAAACGGG